AUUGAACGCUGGCGGCAGGCUUAACACAUGCAAGUCGAGCGGGGAAGGGUAGCUUGCUACCUGACCUAGCGGCGGACGGGUGAGUAAUGCUUAGGAAUCUGCCUAUUGGUGGGGGACAACAUUCCGAAAGGAAUGCUAAUACCGCAUACGCCCUACGGGGGAAAGCAGGGGAUCUUCGGACCUUGCGCUAAUAGAUGAGCCUAAGUCAGAUUAGCUAGUUGGUGGGGUAAAGGCCUACCAAGGCGACGAUCUGUAGCGGGUCUGAGAGGAUGAUCCGCCACACUGGGACUGAGACACGGCCCAGACUCCUACGGGAGGCAGCAGUGGGGAAUAUUGGACAAUGGGCGCAAGCCUGAUCCAGCCAUGCCGCGUGUGUGAAGAAGGCCUUUUGGUUGCAAAGCACUUUAAGCGAGGAGGAGGCUACUUGGAUUAAUACUCUAGGAUAGUGGACGUUACUCGCAGAAUAAGCACCGGCUAACUCUGUGCCAGCAGCCGCGGUAAUACAGAGGGUGCGAGCGUUAAUCGGAUUUACUGGGCGUAAAGCGUGCGUAGGCGGCUUUUUAAGUCGGAUGUGAAAUCCCUGAGCUUAACUUAGGAAUUGCAUUCGAUACUGGGAAGCUAGAGUAUGGGAGAGGAUGGUAGAAUUCCAGGUGUAGCGGUGAAAUGCGUAGAGAUCUGGAGGAAUACCGAUGGCGAAGGCAGCCAUCUGGCCUAAUACUGACGCUGAGGUACGAAAGCAUGGGGAGCAAACAGG
rnacentral:rRNA from 1 species